GUGACCUCAAAUCAGGUAGGACUACCCGCUGAACUUAAGCAUAUCAAUAAGCGGAGGAAAAGAAACUAACAAGGAUUCCCCUAGUAACUGCGAGUGAAGCGGGAAAAGCUCAAAUUUAAAAUCUGGCGGCCUUUUUGCUGUCCGAGUUGUAAUCUAGAGAAGUGUUAUCCGCGCUGGACCGUGUACAAGUCUCCUGGAAUGGAGCAUCAUAGAGGGUGAGAAUCCCGUCUUUGACAUGGACUACCAGGGCUUUGUGAUGCGCUCUCAAAGAGUCGAGUUGUUUGGGAAUGCAGCUCAAAAUGGUGGUAAAUUCCAUCUAAAGCUAAAUAUUGCGAGAGACCGAUAGCGAACAAGUACCGUGAGGAAAGAUGAAAAGAACUUUGGAAAGAGAGUUAAACAGUACGUGAAAUUGCUGAAAG
rnacentral:rRNA from 1 species